rnacentral:rRNA from 1 species
UCUACGGGAGGCAGCAGUGAGGAAUAUUGGUCAAUGGACGAGAGUCUGAACCAGCCAAGUAGCGUGAAGGAUGACUGCCCUAUGGGUUGUAAACUUCUUUUAUAAAGGAAUAAAACGAGGCACGUGUGCCUUUUUGCAUGUACUUUAUGAAUAAGGAUCGGCUAACUCCGUGCCAGCAGCCGCGGUAAUACGGAGGAUCCGAGCGUUAUCCGGAUUUAUUGGGUUUAAAGGGAGCGUAGAUGGGUUGUUAAGUCAGUUGUGAAAGUUUGCGGCUCAACCGUAAAAUUGCAAUUGAUACUGGUAGUCUUGAGUACAGUUGAGGUAGGCGGAAUUCGUGGUGUAGCGGUGAAAUGCUUAGAUAUCACGAAGAACCCCGAUUGCGAAGGUAGCUUACUAAACUGUGACUGACAUUGAUGCUCGAAAGUGUGGGUAUCAAACAGGAUUAGAUACCCUUGUAGUC